CUUCUGAGAGCACAACAGGACUGGGAUUGUGCCGGGAAGAUGUGGAAUGGUGUGGAAAGACAAGCUGCAGCCUUCAGGCUGCCAUGGAAAAGCUGGGGGACAAAAGCACCACCAGAAGCUGUUGCCGUGCUCUUGGGCUUCCCAGCCUUCAAAACUGUGAGUGAAGUAAACAUCUUUCCUGUAUAAAGCAUAACCCAGUCUCAGGUAUUCUUUAUAGCAACAGAAAAUGGACUUAGACAGUGGUCUUGAGACUUGGGUGCAAAAUGGUUUAUCUUUAUCCAUCACCCCAUCCCAAGCCAAUUUCAUUGCCUGUAAGCCUCUAAUCCCCAUGCACCCCACCUUCUAUCUUAAUUCUUUAACUUGAAUUCAUGUACCUAACAUAUAGACAGGUUUUGGGGAUUCAGACAUUGACAUCUGUGAGGGCCAUUAUUCUGUCUACCACAAUUAGAUCAGCACAUCUUUUGGAAAGGAACUAUCUAUUGGAGGAAAUACAUUGAUGAGGUGCCAGGGUGGGCAACAGUGUGUGAACAUUGGUGUUGGCCUAGGCCAGUGAGAACGCUAGGGAUGGAGUCUUAAGCCAGCCAGUGAUGGCCCUAUUCAGUCCAUACAGUUAAGAGAGAUCAAGGAUGAGUGACCUGGAAGCCAAGGGCAAGCGCCCCAGUAAUAAUCAUGAUUCCUGGCCCAUUUCCAGACUUGAGCCAGGUUUUGGACCCAGAAUGCAUUGUGCAAGGAGAAAUUGAUUUGGUGGAAAAUUACAUGGUAAGUCUAUUGUAAGGGGGAGGAAGAAUUCCCAAGAGGUUGAACGAAAACUAAGCAACUGAAAAAGUCAUUAUUUCAGGAAGGACAAGCAGUAGGACAGGAAGUAAUCAGUACACAGAAUGAAAGGGUGGCGAGUCCCACUCAGGGCAGCACUCAGACCAGGGAAGAGACGCCCUCUUGCCCUGGGCUUUGUGUUUUAGGGGCCUGCAUUUCACAGACACAGAACCAGGUGUCUGUUCUUUUUGGUUUCGUAAAACACUCUGGGAUUGAGUAAGUGAUCAAAUGUGAUCGGGAGAGGGACGCAUGAACCAAACCGGCCCCUGGGCCAAAGAGAAUGGGGCUGAGACAUGCACAUGUUCGUGGAGAGAGGAGAGAACCACGACCUCCAUGCCAGGACACUGGAGGAAGAACAGUGGCCACUGCAGAUCACCCCAAGUGGGUGUCAGGCGGGAGGGCUUCCCGAUCAGGGUGCCGCCUCCCCCUGCUGGGUGGUAUGGUCCUGGGAAGGGCUUAGUAAUUCCAGGGCUUCUCAGAUGCUGGCAACAUUUUACUUCCUGUGCUGGUAGUUACACUGGCAUGUUUCCAUUGUGAAAUUUGGUUGAGAUGCAUGCCCAUUACCUGUGUAGUUUCCCACAGGUAUGCUAUGCAAGAGUUUAUACACAUCCUUAGGAGAAAAUGUCAGGGAAUUUUACUUUGUUCUUAGGCUAAGAAAGGAUUUCUUAAACAAGAUAUAAAAAUACCAUAAAAAUAAAUAUUGAUAAAUUCACUAUACUAGAAAUACUCCUGUUCAUCAGAAAGAUACCACAAAGAAAAUUAAGUCAGCCAAAAACUGAGAGAAGGUAUUGACGAUUCUUAUAUCCAGUGAAGAUCAGUUCCAAAAUCUAUAAUCCGAUAAAGAUAGCAUUCCUGUGAUUCAAUAGGGAAAAUAUAGAUACACAUUUACAGUAAUAGAUAAAAAGAUAUAAACCAAUAGCUCACAGUAGAGGAGAAAUAAAUGGCCAAUAAAAAUAUAAAAGAUGUUUCACUUUACUAGCUGUCAGAGAAAUGCAAUUUGAUCCAAGAUUGUAUUUCAGAUGAAUGAGUCUUAACACUCACUCAGCUGGCACCAGCAAAGCAGCUGCCGUGUGUUGGUGAGCUGGUGAAGCCCACGGAACCCGCUGCCGUGAGAGGGCGUUUGUCAGUAUCUUGGGAGCAUCUGGGGACUCCUGUGCAGGGUUGAAUUCUCAAGUGCAACAGCCCCACAAUUCCCCCUUUGGACUCUUCGGUAGAGAAACAGAUGGAGGCAUGCGCCAGGACACAGGUGCCAAAAUGUGCCCUGCAGGAUCAUGCAUUUAAGCAAAAGCACUGGAAAGGCCAGGACAAGAGAAAGCACAAAUACAUCACAGUGAAGCCAAACAAGGAAGCAUAUCACAACCUCAAAAUGAAUGAACAAUAGUUGCUCGCAACAAUGAGAAAAAGUCUUAGAAACAGCUCUUUCCAGAAAAAAAAAAGUGGGAGACCUCAUACAGUAUGGCACAUUUUUACGAGGUUUAUAAAGCCAAGAAAAACUAGAUGGCACAUUGCAUGUGUGAAUUAUAAAAUUCUAAAACCAGAAAAAAUUCCAGGAACGUCCCACAAUCCAGGCUGGGGAGGGGGCAGGUAGGGGAUGGUGGGGGGUGUGCAGGGUGGGUGCUAUUGCCGAACGUGUCCUCCGCUUUCAUGCUGAUUAAAGGUAAACACAGCCCGUCGCCACAGUGGUGAGGGCAGAUUGUGAUGAGUCAUAGCUGUGGCAAUGGAGAAGAGUCCAGCAUGACCUGACUCAGCUUGAAUCUGCACAGCAGUGACGGGGGGUUUUAAAGGGACAGGGAGGGGUGGGGGUCCGCUGGGGCUCAGGAGAGCCGGGGAGGUGAAAACUUAGAGUGGGAAGUGGGUGGGUCCACAGGAGACCUGUCUAUAAUAGGUUUGUUGACUGCAGUUAUGGAAGUGAGGCCCCACCCCUGCAGAGGCUGGGGCAUAGGGCCGUAUUCUCAGGGGUUGCUGGAGCCAACAAGAGAUCCUUUUGGCAGCUUAAGAUUUCUCAGGCAGGCAUUUGAGGGACUGGGUCACCCUAGGGAUGCAGCCUGGAGUUCUUAGAAAUGAAGUUGGCGUCUGUUCAGUCCUUCGUGGGCCAUGUUGAAGCCUGGUGGAGCAGAGGGCCUGGAGGAGCCUGGCUUGUGUGGAGUCAAGGGCAGACUUGAUGUUCUAACCCCUGGCUCCUCAGAGUGUGACUAUAUUUGGAAAUAGGGCUCCCUGUCCCCAGGAAGGCCAAGUCCUUGCCGCCAUUGUGAUUUCUUACAGUCCUGGAACAUCUGGCUGUCCUCACCCUCUGCUGGAAUCUGUAAAUUAUUGGUCCACCUUAUCUGUCCAUCUUACAAUAAAUGACAUCUCCAUA